UUUGGGGAUGAUCUUGUGCAAUCUUGUAAGUCCAUACAGGAAACAAAUAAAUUGAGUUCAAAAGUAUAUGGCAAGGAACCUUCGAACUUCCGACGCCGAGGGGCCCCGAACUAUCAAUAUUCUCGCCCAAGCUCGUCCGGCUAUCGUUUCGCAACCAGCAACAACGAGCACCCUAUUACAGGGGAAAUUGGCAGAAAAAUCGUCGACCCUAUUACAGCCAAGAUGGCGCGGGCUCGUCGUCGUAUGCCUAUGCGGAUAAGACUGAAGACCAAGGACAAGGGUCUGCCAAGCAAGUGAGGUUCUCCAAAAAGUAGAGCUGGACCUGACAACCGGGGUCCUAAUUUUCCCUCAGUGGAAAACACAGCACUGGUUCCCGAGGCUCCUUCGAUUACUGAUCGCAACUCCAUUGGUCAUUCCAAAGAGCGACAACCUACUGUACCUACCACAUGUAACGGAACAGUCUCGUCAUCUCCAAGACCGCCUUGUCAUGUGUGCUGGGCUUCUAUCAGGAGUUCCCUCGCUUCAAGAGGACUUUCACAAGGAACUAUUGACAUCAUAUUCCAGUCUUGGAGACCAGGUACGCAAAAACAAUACUGUUGUGCAUUAUCAAAAUGGUUACAAUUCUGUAGUAAACAACAUGUUCAUCCAUUUCAUGCCUCUGUCAACUCAGCACUAGAAUUCCCGUAAUGAGGAGUCAGGUAGCUACCCUCCCUCGUUUUCAACAUUCAUGAAUCAAGCCUAGAACUUUGCCCACCCUUGUUGGUGAGCCAGUGUAAUGCGAUUGCUUUAAACACUGACGGUUGAACGGGCACGGCCCCAUUUAUAUGCGCACCAAGUGCAUUCUUUCUUUGAAUGAGUGCGUUCCUCAAA